GAUGAACGCUGGCGGCGUGCCUAAUACAUGCAAGUCGAGCGAACGGACGAGAAGCUUGCUUCUCUGAUGUUAGCGGCGGACGGGUGAGUAACACGUGGAUAACCUACCUAUAAGACUGGGAUAACUUCGGGAAACCGGAGCUAAUACCGGAUAAUAUUUUGAACCGCAUGGUUCAAAAGUUAAAGACGGUCUUUCUGUCACUUAUAGAUGGAUCCGCGCUGCAUUAGCUAGUUGGUAAGGUAACGGCUUACCAAGGCAACGAUGCAUAGCCGACCUGAGAGGGUGAUCGGCCACACUGGAACUGAGACACGGUCCAGACUCCUACGGGAGGCAGCAGUAGGGAAUCUUCCGCAAUGGGCGAAAGCCUGACGGAGCAACGCCGCGUGAGUGAUGAAGGUCUUCGGAUCGUAAAACUCUGUUAUUAGGGAAGAACAUAUGUGUAAGUAACUGUGCACAUCUUGACGGUACCUAAUCAGAAAGCCACGGCUAACUACGUG
rnacentral:rRNA from 1 species